GUGAUAGACCCAAGCUAGGCUUAUGAAUUUUGGAAGAAGAACCCCAUGGUAUUCAGAGGAUGAUAGAACUAUUUGAGAGAUAAUGCGUAGUAAGUGAGUAAAUAGUACUUGAGUUAUGAAAUGAAAGGUGAAGGUAAUCUGUAGGUAGGUGGACGGAGAGCUAAAGAUUUCCUACUUGUCAUGAGAUCUUAGUGGCUUGGUGAGUGUUUCUUGACUUUUCUAGUAGGCGCAAGUAGUAUAAGAAGUGAACAAUUAUAUUGAUAUCCGUGUUUGGAAAUAGACACUAAGGUUGAAUUUGAGAUGAGUGGCGUGAACAAAAGAUGGCAACAUAAGUGUGAUGGUGUUAGUUUUGAAAACUAAUCUAGUAGGUUUGACCUGAGAUAGGUGAGGAAUUAAAGUGUUACUUUGCAAUGAAAAUGUGGUAUUAUGACCUAUAGAGAGGAG
rnacentral:lncRNA from 1 species